rnacentral:lncRNA from 1 species
GUCUUCUUUUGCUAUUGUGACCAAGGGAGUUAUCAUAUAGUACUCAAACACAGCAAGUCUUAAUUACCUUUUCCUUACUGAGGAUAUAUGUCUUUUUAUGUUCUGUAAUCUCAGACAAUAAAGGCCAGAUUUAUCUUGCUAAGUACUGCAUAACCAACAUGUAGCAGAAUACUUGACAUAUAGUAAAUUAUCAAUAAAACAAAAACAUAGAAAUAAGUUUUAUAAACCGAUCUGUAUACACAUGUACACGUACACCCAUCCAUAUAUAUGUCUGUAGUGUUGUACCUUUCCCAGUUUCUCUCUUUAUAUUACUUCUCCUCCUGAAAUCUUUUUGGGGACCAGGGAUUGAACUCAGGGACAUGAAACUACUGAGCCACAUCUCCAUCCCUAAUCGUGUAUUUUAUUUUGAGACAGGGCCUCACUGAGUUGCUUAGUGCCCCUUUUGCUGAGGCUGGCUUUGAACUCGCUAUCCCCCUGCCUCAGCCUCCCAAACCUCUGGGAUUACAGGCAUAAGUCACCACAGCCCAGCUCCUCCUGAAAUC